GCCAUUUUCUGUAGAUCCUUCAGGAUCCGUAGGUGAUGAGCCAAGUCUGUGGCCAGGAUGAUGUCCCUCAUCAGGUCAAGCAUCCUCUGAACUUCUCAAAGAUAUUGCAGCCCUGGGUGUUGAGGAUGGCGAUCGCCUGAGCAAAGUGGUGUCUCUGGAAAUGAAAGCCAAUAGUCAGUGCACAGAUCCCUCAGAACUAUACAGGCCAGCCAACACAGAUUUCUGGAGAAGAGAAGACAAAACUGAUUGUUUUUGUAAUGCAUGCUUCUGUGGCAGUUUGUGUUUCUCCAGUAAGCUACAUUAUGUUUAUUUGUUGGUCAUUGAUUCUAUGGCUAAAUUUAAAGGGAAACUCAGACGCUUUUAACAUUUGGGUUGUUAUUAAGAAGUAUUUAUUAAUGUCUUACACAGUGUGCAGUAUUAUGAUUUCAUGUCUAUUGACUGUUUAAUGAUGAGCAGAAUUGGAAAUUGUUUGUGAAGUUUUCAAGUAGAAUCUCUGAAAUGACUAAUAAAAGUUUUUAUGGACAGUCAUUUUCAGC